UAGAAGCAGAUGAAAACAAAGAUUGCAAAGCUAUCUUUCUAAUUCCCAGUUGAUAAUACUGUAAUCAGUCAAUGUGAUUAGCCUCCUGAUUAUUCUAGUUACAUAGCCCUCAGGCUUUCAAACUGAUUUCUGUUCUUCUGCAGAUAUCACCUUCCAUGCUAAUUGUUUAUAAGGAUAAUCACGUCAUCACCAAUGUAAAUGUGUCAUUAAGGCCAUUGUCAAAUCACUUUAGUAGAAUCCUAAGCUAAGCCAGCCAAUCAUCAUACUAUUUGAUCACAUGACUGAUCAUCACAUGACUGGUAAAUUAUAUUAACAAUCUCACUAACCAAAUCUGCAGGGUUUAGGUUUAGCUUUGGAACUUGGAAGCAGAAUAGUCAAAGAUUCAUCACAUGACUCCCACACCAAAUUUGAAUUUAAAGAAGAGAUAAACUUUCUAGUAAGAAAGCAAAAACAAAGAUAUGGAGAUAAUCUCCCUUACAUGUUCUGUUUCUCUCAAUAUAUAAGUCAUUACAAAGUGAUCUUGGCUAGCACAAGCCCUACUUUCACUACAUAGAAGACAUCUUGUGAGUUAAGAAAGCAAUGAAACCUAGCUGCUUCAAAUCAUUGUCUGCUAUUAUCUAUGCAAUAAUAGCUCUAGCAAUGCUUCUUUCAACUGGGGUUAAUUUAGCUCAUGCAAGGGAUCUGCCAGCUUCCUCUUUGGCUUCAACCAAGUCACCAAGCUCUCAAGUUCUCGUGAAUUCAGAGUCAAAAGAAAGCAUGCCGAACACAACACAGACUGUAGCCGCCAGCCUUAGAAGAAUACCUCCUAGCGGUCCUAAUCCCACACAGAACAAGUCCAAGCCUCGAGUGAAGGGAUGAUUUCGUAGGGAGUGGGAAAGGAAGCUUCAAGAUUUUGCUAGCUAGCAAGAAAUGUUUGCAAUUGGUUUAAUUUGUUUGUCUUUUUAUUAAUUUUUUUUGGUUUGAAUUAGUUGAUUUUCUACCAGCCUCCUGUGGAGUGUUCAAGCUAGCCAGCUAGCCAGCCAUGUGUUUUUCUCUUCAUUGGUUUAGGUGGGACAAACAAUUUAUGAAUCAUAGAAUGCAAGAUUAUGUUUUCAGUGUUUUGGAUUUAA